rfam:Fructobacillus sp. EFB-N1 FEFB_c000009, whole genome shotgun sequence.
UAAAUAAAAUCAAUUUUGCCUAAGACUCAGGUGGUGCUUGCACCUUAAUAUCCUGCCGAGGAAGUUAUCAAUUAACUUUACCCGUCUGUCUUUUGCAGGCGGGUUUCUUUUGCAAAAAA